rnacentral:lncRNA from 1 species
UUCAGAAGCUCCAAGGAUGUCAUCGGGACCCAUGCUUUUGAUCUCAGAGCUCUGUUUUCAUGUGUGGUGCCUCAUUUCUUAGACAGUGACGCCGCACCUGCCAGAAAAUUCAGUUUUACAUGUUUUCUCCCAGCCACUGUAAAAGAAAGAAACUGUCCCUUUCUUGCAAGAUCGUGCAAAUGUAUGUCCUAUAAUUGGAACUCAUUGACCAGAAAUGGUUUGGCAUGGGUCUCAUGGCGUCCCUGAAUUUGCAGUGGGUUGGCCAAAUCUGCUUUACCUGAGGAGCUGAUGCUACUGUGACCUACAGCAAAAGAAGUGGGAACAUGUGAAGGAGAGGUAUUUUCCAAGAGAAAGGUGAGAAAAUCAAUGUAAAAG